rnacentral:lncRNA from 1 species
CACAGCUUGAGGGGGCAGAGGCAGGGCAGAAGCGCGCUUGCUCUUACAGGCUUGAAUCUCUGUGUUCUGUCCUGAUGCUGUGCCAACCCCUACUCCGGGGGGCCCUGCCUCUUCCUGCGGCCACAGAACUACCUUCCUUUCCACUGACCACAGGAGCCGUUCAAUUCUUGGCCUCCUUCUGAUAUCGUUCUGAGGCUUUGCGAGCUCUGGGCAACGGAAGAAAGAUCCAGUGUUAACAUCUGUGUGGUAAUUUUCCAUGACUAUCUCAGAUGGCCGAAGACAUGACUGCUAUUUUCUGGAUCACGACAUCUUUCAGGCUUCAGACUGACCCCUCUGGACAAACAGGGCUUAGGUCCUCUCCAGGUGCUUGUAUGCUGCUUCUCACAUGGGAACAGUGCUCACCACCCCGGGAGGAACUUACAGACAGGUAAUGCGCCAUUGCAACUUCAUGGAAAGUCAAGUUUAAUUUGGGGGAGAUGCCAUGACACUAGCUUUAAAUUAAGAUGUAUAUACACACAUAGACUAUACUAGAUUCAGG